CCAUGGAAGUCGGUAACACCCGAAGUCACUGGUCUAAUCUCACGCAAGUGAGAAAGAAGGUGCCUAAGGUGAGAUCGAUGACUGGGGCG
rnacentral:rRNA from 1 species